CUGGACCGUAAUUCAGAGCAGUGAGAGUGUGGGGAGGUUAUCCUGGCCGGGUGUAAUGGGUGCUGGGUCCUCCCUCAGAGCGGCUCUCCCGCUCUCUCUCACCCGGGAAGGAGCACAGGGUGGUUUUGCAUACAGUCUCGUUUCCCACCCGCGGGACCAGCCGGAGGCUCAGGAUCUGCUGCAGGAGCCCGGCCUCGCCUCCCAGCCCUCCUCCACCGCCGUCCAUAUCUUCUCCAUCCACCGCCCUGCAGGCCGCGGCGCCUCCUCGGGCUGUCCUAACUCUCCUCGGCAGGCCGUCAGCGCUGUCACACGGGGAGCCUCAUCAGAAAGCGCUCGGCGAGCGAACGCCAAUCACAAGAGAGAAAAUGCCACAAGCGGGCGGGACUAGGGAGCGCACCGCGCGACGAUUGGUCGCUGCAGACAUC